GUGCGUGCCUGACAUCUUUCUCCCGAGGGUAGAGGUGUGGUAUGGAUGACCACCAAAACCCUUCGAGGGCAGCAUGGCUCUAGCCCUGGGGCUACAGAAACAAAAUAGAUGGGGCCCUCAAGUAGCUCACAGUCCAGCAGGGGACCAACAGGAGGCAGACGGCUAAAAAGCAGUGUGACAAGUGCAACAACAAGAGUGGUGAAAACGGGGAGCCCUGGGAGUGCAUGGCAGAGCAGAGUUCUGAAGGAUGAGAUGUAGCUAGAUCUAGAUGGAACAUUAGAGAAAAGAUGAUCCAAGGAAGAAACAUCAACGACAAAGCAAGACAACUCUGGCACAUUGCAGAACCAGCAAAUAGUUUUAUGCAGGUGCAGUGUGAAGUUUAAUGACAAUUUUUAUCUCCCAAAUGCCUCAAAUUCAUCCACUUUCUCCAUCUCCAACGCCAAACCGUUUCAUAAGUUAUCAUCACCUCUUGCCUACACUACACAGGCAUCUCCCAAGUGGUCUUCCUGCAUGCGUUUUCCCUGCUUUGUAAUUCAAUCUUCAUAUUGAAGCCAAAAUAAUUUUUCUUAAAUAUACAAACUCAAUUCCCA